ACCUUCCAACCGUACUCCGGCACGCCGCCUUCAUCAUCGUUGACAUUACCGCAAACCGACAUGGCGUAGGGUCCGGUGCAGCGAGCGUACGUGUGCAAUGUAUACCGUGGACUAAACAAGUGCCGGCGUGUCGCAGAGUGUCGAGACUCGAGAGUUCAAGAGUUCGAGGCGGACUUGAUAGUCGAUAAUCGAUAUCAAUAAGAAUUAUUGAUAAGGCCCCCACUACGGAACACGGAGACAAAUGACAAUGAGAAGUUUUUAUUAUUCAUGCGGUCUCGUCAUCAAUAAAUAUUUAAUAAAUAUUAAAUACUGCAAAAUUCAUAUGUAAAUUGUAGAUCGCCCCUUACAAUUUUUUUCAUUGACUUAACUAUAGUUUAUUUUUUUAUAUAUAUUUUUUAAACUUUGACACUUUAUUUCAGAGAGACCUCUGAUAAUCGUUUGUUAAUAAACUAAUUAUUUGUAUUAA